CAAACACCGACAGCCACGCGCCGUCGAGUACGGCAAAGUCGGCCUUGGGCAUCACCGCGAGUCGCGCGCGGUACUUUGUGUGCGCGUCCUUGAGCGGCAGUUUCUUGGGCACCGACGCGACGCUCUUGGUCUUGCCGGCUGUCUUGGUCGCGCCCGACGACGAUGAUGACUUGCCGGCCUUGCCCGCGGCCUUUUUCGUCGUCUUGCUCGCGGCGCUCUUGGCGGCGCUGGCCUUGGUCGGCGGCGUCUUUUUGGACUUGGCACCUGCGACCUUGGUUGUGCCGGCCGACUUGCCCGCGGCGCCGGUCGAUGACUUGGUCGACGAUUUGGCAGACGCCUUGGUCGAUGUCUUGCCCGCAGCCCUGGUUGAUGCGCUUGUGCCGCUCUUUUUCGCCUUGGUCGAUGCGCUUGCGCUGUUCUUUUUCGUCUUGGUCGAGGCCGACGUGCGCGCCCUCUUGGCCGGCGGUUCGCCGCCGCCGCCGCCGGCAAUGGCUUCCUUGGCCGCCUCCGAGGCCGCGCGCUUGCGCGCCUUUUUCUUCUCGGCGAUGGCCCUCGCCUGGGCCGACGCGACGCGCGCUUCGGCCUGGCCCGUGGCCGAGGUCGCGUGGAUGAUCUCGU
rnacentral:lncRNA from 1 species